rnacentral:lncRNA from 1 species
CAUCCAACACUCACAUGACUGAUUCAUAUACUUUAUUUUAAAAUGAAAAGUACAUGUAUGAGAAGUUCUCUUCUUGGAAUGGUAUACUGUUAAUAUAAUUCGAAGAAGGCAAAGACAAAUGAUUGAUUUUGUUUGUAGCCUAACGUCCAGGGGCAAAUGUUUCAUUCAUGUUCAGAUCGAGUAUAUUUUUCUGACGUUCCAG